rnacentral:lncRNA from 1 species
GUGUGCAUCAAACAUAUACACUGGUAAAUAGCCCUUCUCAAGUGUAAAUUAAAUCUUUAAUAAACAGCCUACCUAGUCAUUUCUGGAUAUUUUUUUUAGACUACAUAUGAUUCCAUAAUCAAGUUUUGAAAGUCUUUGGCAAGUAAAUUUUAUUGAAAAAACAUUGUUUCAUUUCUUGUUUAUAAUAGUUUACAAAACAUCAGCCAUUUUAAGAGACAGUUUUGACCUUAGACUAACAUAUAACCUCAGACUUCUAUAUAUAAACAAUCACUACCACUAGACAAAAAUGAAGACUCAACUGGUUUAGAAACGGUGAAGAUGAAGGACAAUUUGAGAUGGUUGUGACUUUUCAAAUACACCUAUUAUCAAUGUAUGAUCAUAAAGUCUAGCAUGAAUAAAAGUUCAAGCUUGUAAAAGAAGCUGGUAAUACCAAAUAUAUAUAUACCCUGCAUGUUCAAUUUCACUAACAAACAAAAAAGACAAAAUUCACCAACUUGUCAUACUGAAGAUUCUUUUAUUUUUUUUUGCUUACCAAUUUUUCGUGGAUAUUUGAUUUCCUGGGUUGGUCAAGGUUACAUAUACAUGUAAGGCUACAGAAAAUGGUCAUUUGUUGAAAAUUUAAUUUUGUGGUUAACCUGUGACAACGAAAUCAAUGGAAAUUGGUAUCCAACAAAUAUAAUAAAUCCAUGGUUACGUCAGUAUGUGGAAAUUGAUAGAAAAUAAAACUGUGACAAUAUUCACAUCUUAACUAUAUGCACGAAACCCUAAAUAAAUUAAAAGUUUUUGCUAGAAAAGUAGGAGAUAUUACAACAAACCAUAUACCCUAUGUUUGACAUACAAAUGUAUGGACAGGAGUAAUACACCUUGCCUUCAUCCUUUCCAACAAUUUGCCUCAGGGCAAUAAUGAAAUGAAAAUGAAAUACAAAACACAAUGACAAUAUCCUUUGUACCUUUUUAAAUGGUAAUACAACUAGUUCUUACAUUGCAUCCUUAGAAUAAGAAACACACUGUUUAGUCUGCAUGUUUUUUUUCCAUUCUGAAAAUUAUAACAUCCACUAAAAACCCAGAACCAAAACUUUAACCUAUUAUAUACAUGAACAUAGUAAUGGACAGCAGGGGCACAGAGCCAAAGACCAGAAAACAUAAUCACCUCUUCCAUGGUAGACAGGAAUUAAAAUCUGAAAAUGUCUUAUAACUGUGUACUAGUGUUACCAAAGGAGAUCAGUGGGUUGAAAUUUGAUAAAAUUUAAAAUACAGUCUUUGGGCACCAAUAUACAUGCAUUGACAGAUUUAAACUCAUUUUUCAUAUGAUGAUUUUUAAUCUCCGUAGCAUGGAGUUGAUGAUUAUGGAUACAAUUUUGAAAUCUGACUAAAAACAUUAAUCAAAAUCUAAAUUUAGACUGAUGGGACUCAAACUGCAUGAGGCGUCAGCUAUAACAUGUUUGAAAAAAUCUAAUGACAUACAGCUAUCAAGUUCAUUUGAUUAGAUCUUGACAAACAUGCAAAAUGAUUUUGGAAAAAAAUGUUGUUUUAUAAUUUAAGCCAUCUAAUAAAACAAUGCUUAUUUACCAUUAAAAUGAU